GAAAGGCGGGCUAAUACCGGAUAAUGUCCCACUAUAUAAGUAGUGUGACCAUAGGAGGCUCUGCUUCCGCCACGGGAUGAGUCCGCGUACCAUUAGCUAGUUGGUAGGGUAAUGGCCUACCAAGGCUACGAUGGUUAGCUGGUCUGAGAGGACGAUCAGCCACACUGGAACUGAGACACGGUCCAGACUCCUACGGGAGGCAGCAGUGGGGAAUAUUGCGCAAUGGNGGAAACCCUGACGCAGCGACGCCGCGUGAGCGAUGAAGGCCUUCGGGUCGUAAAGCUCUGUCAGGUGGGAAGAACCCUCCGUCGACUAAUAAUUGACGGAGCUGACGGUACCACCAGAGGAAGCACCGGCUAACUCCGUGCCAGCAGCCGCGGUAACACGGAGGAUGCAAGCGUUGUUCGGAAUCACUGGGCGUAAAGGACGCGCAGGCGGUCCGGUAAGUCAGAAGUGAAAUCCGUCGGCUCAACCGACGAACGGCUUCUGAUACUGCCGGACUUGAGUACGGGA
rnacentral:rRNA from 1 species